rnacentral:rRNA from 1 species
AUUGAACGCUGGCGGCAGGCCUAACACAUGCAAGUCGAACGGUAACAGGAAGAAGCUUGCUUCUUUGCUGACGAGUGGCGGACGGGUGAGUAAUGUCUGGGAAACUGCCUGAUGGAGGGGGAUAACUACUGGAAACGGUAGCUAAUACCGCAUAACGUCGCAAGACCAAAAAGGGGGACCUUCGGGCCUCUUGCCAUCGGAUGUGCCCAGAUGGGAUUAGCUAGUAGGUGGGGUAACGGCUCACCUAGGCGACGAUCCCUAGCUGGUCUGAGAGGAUGACCAGCCACACUGGAACUGAGACACGGUCCAGACUCCUACGGGAGGCAGCAGUGGGGAAUAUUGCACAAAGGGCGCAAGCCUGAUGCAGCCAUGCCGCGUGUAUGAAGAAGGCCUUCGGGCUGUAAAGUACUUUCAGCGGGGAGGAAGGGAGUAAAGUUAAUACCUUUGCUCAUUGACGUUACCCGCAGAAGAAGCACCGGCUAACUCCGUG